rnacentral:lncRNA from 1 species
CCAAUACAGAUAACAAACCCUGGACAUCGAGCUGUCCCAUCAUCUUGUACUUCCAUAUUCCGAAGUCUCCUUUUCCAUCGAACUUGUCCAUCUCAAAACGACGUCGAGUUGGCUCCAUACUGACUUUUGGAUCUUUAUCUUUGCUCGCAGGUACUUAGGCGUGUACUCUACCCAGAUCGACUGAAUACAAAGAAACGCAACGAUAGAUCAGGAUUGAACCUCUACACCAAGAUCUUGAUCCAACCUUCCAAGGGAGACAAAGAUAAGUUCUGAUGCCUAGUCUCUAUUCCUAGAACUCCUUAGCUAUCUAACCUGGACUGCUCUGAUACCACUUGUAGAGAUUUUAAUCUAGGAAUAUUGAAUUCGCAGGUAAAUUCAGAUAAGCAAUCAAAGACACAACGCGAUUUGUUCACCCAGAGUUCACCGAUAUGGCUACAUCUCUGAGGAGGGAACGGGAUCCCUCAACUGCUUCCACUAUCGAAUCGUUUACAAAGAGAUGCCCGAAGGCGCUUUACAAUCUUGACAGAGACUAGCUUAAAGAAUAAAAGGAAGAAGAUGAUCGGGACCGGAAUCUUUCCACUGAAACACCGCCUUAACACCUUAAGCUCCGAUCACUCUCUCUACUGUAUCUCAGCUUUCUCUCUCUAUAACAGACUGAACUCUCUCUCUGUUCUUUGUGCAGCUCUCGUGAAGAAGAAGACGACCUCAGAAUUAAACAGUUACCGGCCCUUUUAGGAUAUAGGCCCAAUCGUGAAGUCUCGUGGGCCUCCGGCCCAAUCUAGUGUUUGACUGAACCUAGCUCACCUAACAUUUAUUAAUAUCACAUACAUCAUUCUUACAAAUUAUUUAACAUGCAAGACUACAACAAUGAACAAAACUAUGAACAACUGAUACGUUGCAUCUUAGUUUUCUUUAAAACCAAUGCAUUUUAUUUGGACACAGAAUGCUACCUUCGUUUAUUGGACGAAGUUUGCUACAGGCCAAUUGGACCUCUACGUGAACUUGAAGGCAGCGCGUCGAUUCCUGACAGGACCUGGGGACGAAGAGUUUGACCUUGUGCCCCGAU